CCCACCAUGCCCCUGGUACCCCUGGGGCAGCUCAUCCCCACCCCAGGCCCUGAGCAGGACAACUGCAGGAGCCUCUGGGAGAUUCAGGUCCAAAACCACAAUGGAACAUGGAAACCCAUGGGCAGGGCUGGGAAGGGUCCGAGUGUCCAUCCUGGGGGGUGAUGGCAGCCAGCACAGCGGUGAAACGGGCACAGGUGGCUCUGCUCACCCCGUGGCUCCUGGGGACAGGCACACGUUCCGCUUCUCCAGGCUCGGGCUGGCCUGGAUGUCCUUAAUUGCCCAAAGGUCGCUGUCCCCGAGCCCGGGGCCACGUGUCGGAGGGACUGCGGGCAGGAACCUGACAUGGACACAAGUCAUUCGGGAUCAACGCUGGGGGUCAGGAAAUUACAAUGGACACGAACCUAAAUACGCUGCACGUCCCCCCAGGUAAUCAGGGGCCGGGCCAGAUUCCAGCUGACAGCUUAAAUGCCUUAAUUCCUCAGCCGCUGUGGUUCGAGGGGGUCCCGUGUGCCGUGGGCUUCUCUCAAAUGGUCUCUGAGCUGGAGAUUUGUCUGUAAUUGGAGGCGUGUUGCAUUCCCCUGAAAGUAGCCAGGUCCCGCUGGAGGGGGGCUGCGGGAAGGCAGCAAUUUCCCUUAUGGAAUUAUUUACCUGAUUAGAGAGUUUAUUUUAUCAAAAUUGCUUCAGAAUGGGGCUGCUCAGUGUGUCCAGCGCAGGGAGCUCCCCGGUGGUGCUGGCGGCCUGGAGACAGGCCCCCGAAGGCGAGUGUGGGAGUGCUGGAUUGCUCACAUUAGCACAAAAAUGAUUCUUUUAAAGCAACGCCAGCUCAUUUACAUGUGUAUUGCGCCUGCCUCCACGGGUGCUGAGGUCAAUUGAAACUCAAGAAAAGAGGAGAAAUUUAUGCAAAACUGUUGAUUGCAUUUGUAUGUAAUGAAAUCAUCCAAUAUUCAUCUGACUAUAGACUCUAAUCUGAAAGGAGAAGUGAAGGACAUAAGAGUCACUGGAAAGCAAUAAUGAGCUUCUGUAGUGAUUAAAAAAGCACUUGAGCUUUCUGAAAAUCCAGCCAGAAAUCGUGUCUAAUCAACACGGAAUAUAGGAGGCAGAGAUUACAUUGAUACAUUUUGCAAAGCUCACUGUUGAAAAUGUAUGCGCGCUGUAAACUCUGACAUGCCAUCCAGGGUCUGUUGGAUACAAAUCCGGGCGGCACAAUCAGCGCCCGGCUCGUCCCUGGCACAAAGCAAUCUUGGUGUCUCUGCUCGAUGACUCACAAGGAGCGCAAUCACAUCUAUUUUGAAGAGCAAUGUUGUUUUUUAACUAUGUCGAGAGCUUCCAGCUUCCUUGGAGUUUUUCCUUCCCGUUGCCUCUGUUUGGCGUGUCCCUGCGGCCACGGGGCUCGCUCCAGGAGCCUGGUGCCUGCCCUGGUGCUGUCCAGCUGCUUGGAGCAUUGGAACCUCCUGCUGGGGCUAAGAGUGGCUUUGGGCAGCCUGGGAAGGGCACAGCUCUGUCCUGAGCAGGGAUGUGCACAGUGCAUUCCUCGUGUUGGGAGUGUGACCCCUUGGGGACCUCCAGGCCACAGCAGUGCCCACCAGGUGGAACCUGCCAGGCCCCCAGGCUGGCAGGAGCUGUUGGGAGAGGGGUCCCUGCGAGGGCAGAGGGGUGUGGACAGCCCAGGGCACAGCAGAGGGUCUGGCCAGGGCCCUCCCUCACCCUCUGCCCUGCCAAGGCUGCCAUUUGGGGCUGAUGUGGCAUCACUGACACUGAGCCACAUUAAAGCAGCCCAGCCACUUUCUGGCCCGCUCCCUUCCCCUCCUGGGUUAUUUGGCACAGCUGGAGCUCCCUUCCCACCCGCCAACAGCAUCAGCUGCAGCUUCUUAUCAGCUCUGGGUGCAAUCCAGGCUGGAACCAAGUGAGAGGCUCCUGCUGGUGCCAGUGGAGGAGUGUUUGGAGCAGGCAGACCUUGUGCUGCAGCUCCUGAUGUGGAGCAGCAGGUGAUUUGUGCUGCAAAGGGAAAGUGGGACCUCUCCAGGGCCGCCCUGUGAGCCAGCCGGUGCUCACCAUGACCAGGAUUUCCCAUCAGGAUGAUAUGAACACCUGGGUUGACAAGAGGAUGCUGCUGGACAUGGUAAGCCACAGGUAACUGAGCCCAGGAGAACUUCCAGUGAACCUUCCCCGUGAUGUGGGGCCAGUUACUGCUGUAGUGUCACAAAAAAAUGUUCAACUUUCAAUCCCAAACUAAAAACUGCUGAUGAGGGGGUCUGGCCAUCAAAAAGGCUCAGGAAUGGCUGAUGUGUCCCCUCAGCUCAGAUAAUGCUGCAGCACCUACAGCUGACCACUGUCAACUGCUAGUGCUUAACAAUAAUAUUUUAAUUAUUUUCAUAGCUCUUGGAGUUUCCAGGCUGCCUGGAGAAGGAGAAACCCCAGUGCUCUCCCUGAGACUCACUAGCAGGAGAAUGUGUGGGGGUGAUACUGCAAAAUAAACAUUUCACAGGAGUAUUUAGAAAUUGGCUGCAGCAGCCUGUGUCACCAAAACCCUGGGGCCAGGACUCUUUCCACAGAGAGCUCAGGAAAUGUAGGGUGAGAGCCCCUGGGUGUGGGUUACGGGGGGCUCUGGGGGCUCGGGGGCACCCUCAGCCCCUGCCCACAGCCAGGUCUCUGGCAGUCAUCCCCAUCUCACAGAGCCAGAGGGAAGAGGUUUCCCAGAACCAGUUAGGACUUACAGGAAUUCAGGAUUGCCAGGAAAGCUGGCAGACCCAGAGAGCAGCCCGGGCACCCCAGUCCCCGCCCUGCCAAGGGAGUUGGCCAGGAAUGUCACAAGGAAUCUCAGAGUACCCUGAGCUGGAAGAGUCCAACUCCUGGCCCUGCACAGGACAG